AACACUGUUAACCUGCGGUACCUGCGGAAGGAUCAUUAACCUUUCAAAUCAGGGUGCGGCGCGGCCCCCGAGGAGCGGAAACAAUCCUUGGGAGGUAUGCGGGGGCUUCGAGCCCCCCAUUUACGCACGCACGACUGCCAUCCUUACUUUACGAGCACCUUCUGUUCUCCCUCGGCGGGGCAACCUGCCGUUGGAACCGAAUAAACUCUUUUUGCAUCUAGCAUUACCUGUUCCGAAACA
rnacentral:misc_RNA from 1 species